GGCCUGCUAGCUCAGUCGGUUAGAGCGUCGUGCUAAUAACGCGAAGGUCGUAGGUUCGAUCCCUGCGCAGGCUA
rnacentral:tRNA from 1 species